AUCAGCAGAAACAAGAAAGCAUCCCUCAAAAACACAAAGUCUAUGAAAUGCUGAAUUCUUGAGAAACUGGAAUUACAGUGACAGAGAAAGAACCCAAGCAGAGGAUUGUUCUUUUGACGGGUAAUAAUAUAACUAUUAUAUACUAUAGUUAUAUACUAAUAUAACUAUAAAACAAAGUGAUUAACUUGAUUCAAAAGAGCCAUCUUUGCUUAUUCUG
rnacentral:lncRNA from 1 species